CCGAUCCCGAUUCCCAAAGCCACCUGCUGAUCUCCUCGGCGCCCAUGUGGAGGAGGAGAUCGGUGGAGGUGAGGCCGAAAACAACGCCGUCGAUAUCCAGAGUGCACGGAUCCGAAACAAAGUGCACGCGCUGCCGGGUUUGGUUACCGGUUUGUCGUCCUUGGGGAGCUCCGGGCAGAGGAACGGCGGCUGCGGGUAUACAAAGUCGUGGUGGACGUCCCGCAGCGAGGGCACAAAGACCAGGCAGAGCUUGAAGACCUCGGCGAAGGAUCCCAGGAGUUGGCAGUUCUGGGAAUUGAGGGAAAACGAGGAGAUUUGCUCAAUUCCCGCUUAGCUGAGGUGAACGGGAAGGACUCCGCGACCUCCUCAAGGUU